CUCCUCGUGGUGCGUCUGGUUUUUCAGUUUGUAUACUCUCCCUCACUCUCAAUUGUAGCAGCACGGAGCUUCAGAGCCAUCGGCUCUGUUUCCCCUCAAUCUUUCUCAAUCCGCACCCAACUGGAAGCGAAACCCUACAACGAGAACACAACGGCGGCCACCGGGAAUCCACCCCCUCUGGCGAUCUCCGCCCGGUCUUGGUCGAAAGGAAGGGAGAAUCAAAGCUAUUUGGUCCUUUAUCCGCCUCGCCUAAACCUCGGCAAUCACAAAGAGAGCGUCGAAUGCAGGCAUGCAAGUGUUAGAAGAGUUAAUGAGCGCUAAAGUCCUUCUGGGCAAGCCAGGACAUGGGCGGUUGAUAAAAGUGAAGCAUCAUUAUACAGCAAAAAAUUGAUGGGCUUCCUGACUGGCCCUCUCCAACAUUGGCCUUACAACCUAGCUGCUUUGCAGUGCAUGUUUCAGUAAGCUUUGUCUUGCACAGAUUUUCCCUCUACCAGAGUUGUUAAAAGAGUAGAAAGGUGCACAAAGCCCCCUCGUAUGCGGGGUUCAGGGAAGGGGCGGACCACAAUGGGUCUAUAGUAUGCAGCCUUACUUUGCAUUUUUGCAAGAGGCUGUUUCCAAGCCUCGAACCCGUGACCUCCAGGUCACACGGCGACAACCUUACCAUUGCGCCUAAGCUCCUCUUCAAAAGAGUAGAAAGAAGAAUACAGAAAAAUGCAGGUGUUGUGGUUGAUCUUACUUUUUUUGAGUGACAACGUACGAGAUUCAACUUCCAUAUGGAUAAAUAAAAAUGUCAAAAAGUAAAAGCCCCAGAUCCUCAACUUAAGAGCACAUUUCAGGGAAAUACCUUCUGUCACAACCCUUCUUGCAAGAUCAACAGGAAGGAAAGAGACUUAAAGUGAUACCUCCCUCAAAGCCGUCACUCUGGUUUCUUCUUUAGGUUUAUGCUCCAAUUUCAAGUGGCAGGCUGAAAAUCGAAUAGUGUGAUAUCUAUCUUUUUGGUUGUGUAAUGCCAAAAUGUGGGACAGUGGGAGCACUCCCUCAGGUGGCAGAUUCUUUGCACUCAGAAAUCACUCAAUGGGGAAAUGUUGAACACCACAUAUCAGGAAGUAGGCCUUCUGGCUGCAUCUUCUGUUUUAAUUUGAAACAAUAACUGGGAUAUAAUUUGUGGUCAGCUAAAUCAAGGGAGGAUGUGGAUGAUGAAAAUGAAGAUGUAGAUAUGAAGGAAUUGGGUAGGGCACUGAUUGAGGCUGCAAGAAGGGCUUCUGGACUUGGGCCUCUAUCAACUAGACAGAAUAACUGUAGAAAUAUGGGUCGUGGUAACUUUGUGAUAAUCAUAAACUCCUCUAUCUUCCACCAUCUCGCCGUUGCAUCGUCCAAUUUCAACUUCCCACUGCACUCAAAGUGGGUACUAGAUGACCCUACAUUUGGCACCACAAAUGCUAGCUAGUUCCAGCUGACUUCCUUUUUUGUUUCUUAAAUAUAUACGCAAAAAAAAUUCCCUUUGAAGUUUUCUUCUAAGUGCUCACAUUUGUCGCCAACAAAAAUGUGUAGAUCCUCAUUCUCUGGUUUUCACGUAUGUUCUCCUGUCAUUGUCGGCUUAGAAAUUCAUUGGGUAGGGCACCCUGGGACAUCAAGGCACUACGAGAAGCAUCUCAUGCCCUAAUCAUCAUGUUUUCUUCAACACUUGUCCAAGCAAAGGUGUCGCAUACAAUGGAAGUCAUCAAUUCAAAAUUCCAAAUUUAAUUUAGUGGUACCUUUUUUGGGACUCGUGUGUCAUUUUCGCAUGGGUGAUUCUCUUCACUUUGGUUAGGUUCUUUUCCAAAAAUGUUCACACAUCUUUAGUAAAUAUAAUAAUCUCUUUUGUGGGUGAUGAAGGUAUUUCAUUUCUUCUAGUCAAAAUUUCAUAGGAGCAUCAUAUUAUUGUAUACAAUCUCAUACAGGAACUCACAAACAUUAUAAGCUAAUUAAUUGGCAUUGAUUCUAGGCGGGUUCAUCAUCAUACAAAGAAUUCAAAUAGGAAUUAGAUUUGUAUAUGCAAUGAUUCGAGAAUAAUGAUGAUAUGUGGAUGCUUCUAUUGCGUGCAUUUUUGUCCUGGUGGAGAGCCAAAGUCGAGGAAAGAGAACAUAAAAAGGAGCAAAAGCGAGGAACAUAUAAAGGAGCAACCAAGAAUGCUAAUAUGCAUUUAGAAAGAAGCAAGAAGUUAAUUUGGACGGAUUAAUUUUUCAUGAUGUUAACCUACGCUGAAACCCAAAACCUGAAUCUCAAGAUCUGAACCAAAAAUGGAAACGAAAUCGAAACUUGAACCCAAACCUCAAAAUAUGAACCCGAACCCGAACCUUGAAAUAUGCCUAGUAUUUUCUCAUCAAAUUAUAAAUGUAUCAUUAAAUGUGAAUAAAAUGGUUAAAAAAGAAACAAUAAUUAGAGUACCUCUUGCUUGGAAAAUCAGCCAUUGCACCACACCCUCCACUGGGUGAGCAGCAUUUGGGAAAGAUUAUAGUCUUGUAGCAUCAACAAGUAUUAUUGCAGGGGCAGCUCCCUUUUUUCCAUUCAUAUUAUUUUGUAUGAAAGGUUUCAUUCUCAGUAGAAGCCUGGGCCAUCCUUGAAUCCCUCAAUUGGGACCCGAGCUUGAGUGGAAUGGCAUUACAAAAUCUCGUCUGCGAAACAGAUUCUUGAAAGCAUUUUCUUCACAGCAUCAAGAGCAACCUGGUGUGUCAACAUCAUUCACGACGCCAAAGAUUUGCUUGCAUCAAUCUCUUGUAAUUUCACCUUAUUUUUUGGGUAUCUAUUAGUAAACAUCUUUUACAUAAAAAAUUAGUUUUAAUUAAAUGUUUAUUAUUAUUAUUAUUAUUAUUAUUAU